rnacentral:rRNA from 1 species
GAUGAACGCUGGCGGCGUGCCUAAUACAUGCAAGUCGAGCGAACGGACGAGAAGCUUGCUUUUCUGAUGUUAGCGGCGGACGGGUGAGUAACACGUGGAUAACCUACCUAUAAGUCUUGGAUAACUUCGGGAAACCGGAGCUAAUACCGGAUAAUAUUUUGAACCGCAUGGUUCAAAAGUGAAAGACGGUUUUGCUGUCACUUAUAGAUGGAUCCGCGCUGCAUUAGCUAGUUGGUAAGGUAACGGCUUACCAAGGCAACGAUGCAUAGCCGACCUGAGAGGGUGAUCGGCCACACUGGAACUGAGACACGGUCCAGACUCCUACGGGAGGCAGCAGUAGGGAAUCUUCCGCAAUGGGCGAAAGCCUGACGGAGCAACGCCGCGUGAGUGAUGAAGGUCUUCGGAUCGUAAAACUCUGUUAUUAGGGAAGAACAUAUGUGUAAGUAACUGUGCACAUCUUGACGGUACCUAAUCAGAAAGCCACGGCUAACUACGUG